GAAUCUGCCUGGUAGUGGGGGAUAACGUUCGGAAACGGACGCUAAUACCGCAUACGUCCUACGGGAGAAAGCAGGGGACCUUCGGGCCUUGCGCUAUCAGAUGAGCCUAGGUCGGAUUAGCUAGUUGGUGGGGUAAUGGCUCACCAAGGCGACGAUCCGUAACUGGUCUGAGAGGAUGAUCAGUCACACUGGAACUGAGACACGGUCCAGACUCCUACGGGAGGCAGCAGUGGGGAAUAUUGGACAAUGGGCGAAAGCCUGAUCCAGCCAUGCCGCGUGUGUGAAGAAGGUCUUCGGAUUGUAAAGCACUUUAAGUUGGGAGGAAGGGUUGUAGAUUAAUACUCUGCAAUUUUGACGUUACCGACAGAAUAAGCACCGGCUAACUCUGUGCCAGCAGCCGCGGUAAUACAGAGGGUGCAAGCGUUAAUCGGAAUUACUGGGCGUAAAGCGCGCGUAGGUGGUUUGUUAAGUUGGAUGUGAAAUCCCCGGGCUCAACCUGGGAACUGCAUUCAAAACUGACUGACUAGAGUAUGGUAGAGGGUGGUGGAAUUUCCUGUGUAGCGGGUGAAAUGCGUAGAUAU
rnacentral:rRNA from 1 species